UAUUUGUGCUGUGCACUCAAGGUAAAAUUUUUGAAUCAGUAUUAAUCAGGAGCAAUGUGUUCCAGGAUGAAAGGAACGUAAUUCAGCAGAUUCCUUUGGAGCAGCAGUUGUUCUCCUGGCUGACAGAAGGACCAGAAAAAAUGGCUCUCACUCUAGGACACUGCAGUAACUUUGCCAGAGUAUGGGGAAGGCUCAGAAGUCCAUCAUUUCAAAGUGUUGUGGCAGAACCCAAAAUCCUGGCAUGUGGUGCUGUAAGUCUUAAAAAAAACUGCUCUUACCAAGUUUACAACCAUCUGAUUCCCUCAAGAUGCAAUUAAUGAGAAAGCACUGAAAAUUUAAACUUCAGAAUCAGGCUGAAGUCUCCUGGCUCUGAUAUCAAGUUUAGGAUAUCUUCUCUCUCUCUUCUUUCUGGAGGCACCAUCUCCACAACAGGAGUUUCAAAUGAACAGUGUCACAGCCAAACAACUUCUUUUGUGACUCAAAACCUCCUGUGAAAACAAUAUUUUAUAGGUAAAGACCAUACAGAGGGGUGGGAAACAAGAAUAAAUAAAUUCAUAAGGCAUGAAAAAAAUGGUG
rnacentral:lncRNA from 1 species